GACGAACGCNGGCGGCGUGCUUAACACAUGCAAGUCGAACGGAGCGAAUGAAAGCUUGCUUUUAUGAGCUUAGUGGCAAACGGGUGAGUAACACGUAGACAACCUGCCGACAGGAUGGGGACAACAUUCCGAAAGGAAUGCUAAUACCGAAUGAAGCGGAGGAGAGGCAUCUCUCCUCCGUGAAAGAUGGCCUCUAUUUAUAAGCUAUCACCUGUUGAUGGGUCUGCGUCUGAUUAGCUAGUUGGUGAGGUAACGGCUCACCAAGGCGACGAUCAGUAGCCGGUCUGAGAGGAUGAACGGCCACAUUGGGACUGAGACACGGCCCAGACUCCUACGGGAGGCAGCAGUGGGGAAUCUUCCGCAAUGGGCGCAAGCCUGACGGAGCAACGCCGCGUGAGUGAAGAAGGUCUUCGGAUCGUAAAGCUCUGUUGACGGGGACGAACGUGCGGAGUGCGAAUAGCGCUUGUAANGACGGUNCC
rnacentral:rRNA from 1 species